UGUUUUGUACGAAGUUGUAAACGAGUUGAUUUUUUUCUGUCACUCUGUGAACGUACACUAUUACUGCGAUAAUUUAUUUAAGCGUGAAAGUAGUCAAGUUUGUUUUGUUGCUCGUAAGUGGAGUAAUCCGGCCAAAACUUUUGCUUCCGUUCCGCCGCGUCGGCCAAAAACAUUCGGGACAGAGUCUGGUCCAUUGCGGCUGUAAGCUGUCGACAAUUCUUCCGCGCUGGAAGUCACCCUGUUGAAAGUCUACGGCUCUACCGAAAUCCCCAGUCAAACAAUAGGAUUUUUUCCAGCUUUCGAGUAGCCAAGGAAGAAGUGAUUGAGUUAAAUGGAGUAUCAACAAAUUACCUCCUUUGCUGAAAUGAACAACGAGGAUACGAGCAGAUUGGUUACCAUUCGGAACGCAACCUGACCAUGGGACCGCCGAAUGCAGGAUGUGAUUGUAGAUGAAUUUUGUUCAUCAGAAAGAAAACCAGUGGAAGCUCAUCCGUAUGAAAGACUGCCAGCUGUUACUAAUUAUGAAUGCAAUUUGAGUAGCAUCUGUUCCAACACCUUCUGAGAAUAGUACCUAUUCUGGCUACGGAUGUUACGGUUCUGGACUUGAGGUGCCAUCGGAAAGCGCAGUAUGAUGUGAAGACUGACGGAAUAAAUGCAGUCAUUUUCUUCGAUAAUGAAAAUAUGCAUACAUACACAACUUAAGUAUUAACUUGACCAUGUUCGACUGAUUUACUAAUCAAAGUAAGUAUUGUUAUGUGAACAGAUAAAUAAAUACAAUAAAAAAUAGACUCAAA